rnacentral:rRNA from 1 species
UACGAAGGGGGCUAGCGUUGCUCGGAAUCACUGGGCGUAAAGGGUGCGUAGGCGGGUCUUUAAGUCAGGGGUGAAAUCCUGGAGCUCAACUCCAGAACUGCCUUUGAUACUGAAGAUCUUGAGUUCGGGAGAGGUGAGUGGAACUGCGAGUGUAGAGGUGAAAUUUCGUAGAUAUUCGCAAGAACACCAGUGGCGAAGGCGGCUCACUGGCCCGAUACUGACGCUGAGGCACGAAAGC